rnacentral:ncRNA from 2 species
GGAAGUACAGGCAAUGGUAUCUGCCUUGAACCGCCGCCCGGCCGGGUGCGCUGAUGAUACCUACAGGGCU